AGGGUUCGGCUCCGGAGAGUUCGCCUGAGAAAUCGCGAACACAUCUAAGGAAGGCAGCAGGCGCGAAAAUUACCCACUCUCAGCACGAGGAGGUAGUGACGAAAAAUAACGAGACCGUUCUCUUAUGAGGCCGGUCAUCGGAAUGGGUACAAUUUAAACCCUUUAACGAGUAUCUAUGAGAGGGCAAGUCUGGUGCCAGCAGCCGCGGUAAUUCCAGCUCUCAAAGUGCAUAGAAUUAUUGCUGCGGUUAAAAAGCUCGUAGUUGGAUCUGUGCCAUAGGACGUGGUCCACCUUCGGGUGCGUACUACGCUCCUAGGCUUUUUGCUGGUUUUCCCGUCGUAGCCUUCACUGGUUGCGGCGGGUGGCUGGCGAGUUUACUUUGAGAAAAUCAGAGUGCUCAAUACAGGCGUAUCGCUUGAAUGAUUGUGC
rnacentral:rRNA from 3 species